ensembl:lncRNA
UCAUAUAUGUACUGUUCACUUUUUUUGCCCACACACUCAGUUUAAACCAGUUAAAAUAGUGUUUGUACAUGAAAAUAGUGUUUAGGUUUGUCAGUAUAGAGAAUAAUAUAGAAAAUGGCACAUUUUACGCUGUAUCUGUGUAUGGUAAUUACGCACUGGUCCCUAAAUCGCAUGUUUGCUUCCGCAACGCAAGUAAUUUAAAGAUACAACGCUGUCUGAUGCAGAAUGGGUGGAUUUAAAGAUACAUACCAAGAUGUUCAGCCAGUAACCCUUCGACUUGCAGAAGAAAAUGUAAUUUCCAGUCUCUACUGCAGCUCAGCCGAGGGCAUUGAAGCUCAUGUGUCCACUUUAGUGGAAGCUUUCUUAGUUGAAGUGUACCGAUGUAGAAUCUGUCAGUUUACCAGCAGCCAAAAAGCCAAGAUUAGCCAUCAUGUCUUGGAAAGACAUGAUCCAGUGUCUCCAUGUCCCCAUCUGCCAUGUCUGGAGAAAGAGGAUGAAGAGAGUUUGGGUGUAGGAAUGAGGGUUGAUGAUGAAGAGGAGGUCGACCACAACAGUUCUCCAUAUGACCUAGAGAGUGAUCUCCAUUCUGGCUCCAAAAGCAGUGAUGAUCAGAUGGACAUGGAGCGCAUGUCUUUCCUCCUUCCGAUGUACGGCAUGUUUCAAAACAUCAGCCCACGGUCAUGUGACAUUGGCUUAGGCUCCAACUCUGAUGGGAACUUGCAUGUGGCACAAACCUGUAAGCACGCUCUUUGAGGAGGAUAGGCAUGAUGAGGACAGCGAGGAGGAACCUGUGUUUCAGCUGGAGGAUGCUAACACAGAUCUAGCCGUUCCUUUGAACAGUGGAAUGGACACAGAAAUCCAGGAUGAAGAGAUGGCCCAGUCAGCUCAUCUCAUGACUCUAGGGUUGUGCAGAAUUUCAAGCACUAAGUGUCAACCUCAGUCUGUGACCUCAGCAAAAAGCCUGUCCCAUCCAGAAGGUGAACAGGAUGCUGGACAUGCCAACAUGGAUGCUGAAAUGCAGAAGCCAUCUGAGGAGGAUGGCGGAUUGGCCUGCAUCCUCUGUCAGAUAGUUGUAUCCAGUCGUAGUAUGCUAGAGGUGCACCUGAAAUGCCAUAGUGGAGACCAGGGCUUUAGGUGCCCUCGCUGUGGUUGGGAAUCAGAAGACUGGCUUGAUAUGGAGCAGCACUGGAGAGGACAUGGUAAAAGAAAAGGCUCAAAGAGGCAUAAAUGUAGCAUUUGCCCCAGGACAUUUAGAAGAGUUGACUCUCGUGAUGCACAUGAAGAAAGGCAUAAUCAGCGGCAUCACUGUCGGUCUGUGUCUGGGGGUCUGGUGCAGUGUUCUCUGUGCCUGGAAUGGUGUCUCUCAGGGAAGGAGUGGGAGAUACACCAACAAUGUCAUUUUCAAGGAGGAUUUAAAUGUUUACAUUGUGAUUUCAAAGGUACAAAUCGAUUUACUUCUAUUUUUGCAGUUUCUUAUAUUUCC